UUGACCUACGGGGCGCAGCAGUAGGGAAUCUUUCACAAUGGGCGAAAGCCUGAUGGAGCAACGCCGCGUGCAGGAUGAAGGCCUUCGGGUUGUAAACUGCUUUUAUAAGCGAGAAAUAUGAUGGUAACUUAUGAAUAAGGAUCGGCUAACUACGUGCCAGCAGCCGCGGUAAUACGUAGGGGGCGAGCGUUAUCCGGAUUCAUUGGGCGUAAAGCGCGCGCAGGCGGGUUGCUAAGCCGGACCUCUAA
rnacentral:rRNA from 1 species